GUGAGGACUCGGGAGGUGGAGGGAGGCCGGUCGCCGGGCCUGGGCUGGCGUGUCCAGUUUGCCUGUCCCCCCACCUCCUCUCUCCUCAG
ensembl:miRNA MIR1224 microRNA 1224